rnacentral:rRNA from 1 species
CCCUUAGAUGUUCUGGGCUGCACGCGUGUUACAAUCGGGAGUACAACAAGAUUGCAAAUCCUAGUGGAUGAGUGGUUCUUCGAAAUUUUCUGAAGACUAGGAUAGUUGAUUGAAAUUAUUCAACUCAAACGAGGAAUUCCUUGUAAUUGUAAUUCAUUAUAUUGUAAUGAAUACGUCCCUGCCCUUUGUACACACCGCCCGUCGCUCCUACCGAUUGAACGAUCCGGUGAAUUAUUUGGAGUAGCUCUGGAAGUUGCAGAACUUCCUAUGUCACGAAAUUUUGUAAACCUUAUCGUUUAGAGGAAGGAAAAGUCGUAACA